AUAAUUGUUAGGAUUGGAAGGGACCUCUGGAGAUGAUCCAGUCCAACACCUCUGCCAAGGCAGGGUCACCUAGAGCAGGAGACACAGGAAUGCAUCCAGGUGAGUUUUGAACAUCUCCAGAGAAGGAGACUCAACACCUUCCCUGGGCAG